CACGUAGGAGGCGAGCGUUGUCCGGAAUCAUUGGGCGUAAAGAGCGCGCAGGCGGCUUGGCAAGUCGGGUGUGAAAGUCCCGGGGCUCCAACCCCGUGACUGCAUCCGAUACUGUCAGGCUAGAGGUAGGUAGGGGAGAUCGGAAUUCCUGGUGUAGCGGUGAAAUGCGCAGAUAUCAGGAGGAACACCGGUGGCGAAGGCGGAUCUCUGGGCCUUACCUGACGCUCAGGCGCGAAAGCUAGGGGAGCGAACAGG
rnacentral:rRNA from 1 species